rnacentral:lncRNA from 1 species
UACAAAAGGCCACCAUGCACAAUGUGAAAAAAAUCUAUUUUUUAACAGAUUUCAAUAUGUCGUUUGUUUAAUGUGCUUUGGAUGGGUAUCGCCAAAGUUAAAAAUCAAAUUAAAGUUCGAGUGGUUGUUCAGAGUUAUUUGGUAUGAAAAAAGGGAACGGCAGACAAUAAUAAAAAAAAUAAAAUCCUAAAAAUUUUACAGUAUUUCGGACAUAAUUGGGAUAUCCCCAAACCACUUGGUCCUGUUAUUUGAUCUAUAAGUUUUCAAAUAGAAGCAGUAUUAUAAUAAAUUUGUAAAAAAGUCCACGGAACGCUGUGUCUCGCCUGAUAUUGCUGCUUUCA